rnacentral:lncRNA from 1 species
CUAAAUUGGGGUGUGACAAGUUGGGUUAAUCAGGCUCCAAGGUGUUGAGCUGGGCUGGUUAGGCUAUGACUGGUCGGGCUAGGGUGUGCUAGGUUGGGGUGUGACAGGUUGGGUUAACCAGGCUCCAAGGUGCCGAAAUGGGAUGUUUGGUUAAGAUGGUCGAGCUUCAAGGUGGUUGGCCUAGGCUGGCCAAACUAUCUUAUCUGACUUGUUUGGGACCUCAGUUUAGAGGUUGUGGAACUCGUUUAUGGGC